AUUGAACGCUGGCGGCAGGCUUAACACAUGCAAGUCGAGCGAGCGGCGGACGGGUGAGUAAUGUCUGGGAAACUGCCUGAUGGAGGGGGAUAACUACUGGAAACGGUAGCUAAUACCGCAUACCAUCAGAUGUGCCCAGAUGGGAUUAGCUAGUAGGUGGGGGAAGGGCUCACCGAGGCGACGAUCCCUAGCUGGGCUGCGAGGAUGACCAGCCACACUGGAACGGAGAAACGGUCCAGACGCCUACGUGAGGCAGCAGUGGGGAAUAGUGCACAAUGGGCGCAAGCUUGAUGCAGCCAUGCCGCGUGUGUGAAGAAGGCCUGCGGGUUGUAAAGCACUUUCAGCGAGGAGGCGUUACUCGCAGAAGAAGCACCGGCUAACUCCGUGCCAGCAGCCGCGGUAAUUC
rnacentral:rRNA from 1 species